GUACUGCUGAGGUGUCCCACAAUAGGAUGAAACGAACGUCCAAUAU
rfam:Schistosoma margrebowiei strain Zambia genome assembly, scaffold: SMRZ_contig0006223